GUUGGCUGUGUUGGGGAGGAGAAGAAGGGGUUAGUGCUGUGAGGAGCUGCCCGUGCGAUAUCACCAAGAAGAGCCCAAAUAGCAGCUCAAGGAGGAUGGUGGAUGCUUUGGAUUUCCAUCACCUGCCACCUCUCUGUGCCCCAGGAAGUAGACCAGCUGUGGAGAGUGAAUGGCUUUUCUCCUGGGAUCCUUGGUCAUGCACAGCCCUGGGGCUGCAGAGCGGCUCUCCUUGUAGAGAGGAAUCCAAAUCCCUCUUUUCCAAAGACUGAAUAAAGGGCAGUACCCUGAGGAACUUCAGAGAGCUUCACCUCUGCUGUGGACACCAAGAGACAAAGCAUCCAGCUGCCAAGGACCAGGCAGUGGUGGCACCAGAUUUGCCCCUGGUGCAAGGUCACAGCUUACAGCAAAAGCCACAGAGCAUUGCUGGCUUUCAUUGGGUGAGGAUCCAGCCCCUGGGCUGGCUCAUUCCACUGGCUGAAUUGCAUCAUUCUGCAAUUUUGGUGUCUGCCAGCAUGGGCCCAGUAUUGCCUUGAGGCCAGCUCCUUGUGCCCAUGUGUGGGCACGUCCUUGUGGCUCUGCUCCCACCUCCUCCAGGAGUUCCUCCAGGAUCACAAGGACUGGUGUGUGCACAAGGACUGGACACCAGCAUGGAUUUCAGUGCAAUUUGUGCUAAAAAAUUGCUCACUUCUGGCUCUGUCCAGGAGGUGGGAUAUUUGACAGGGAGCCUGGUGAAGUCAGGAUUUCAUUGAAUUGGCCAAAAUGACCAAAUGUCUGAACAGCUACCUGCAAAGAGGCAUUAAAAUGCACAGGUUUGCAGCUGGGGGUGCACUCUGAGCAUCUGACCAUUCUACUAUAAUGACUUUUGUCCUAAUAAUAACUUAAAUGGUUUCUUAAACAUUAACUUGAACUUGCUCAGGGGAAUGGCCUUUCUUUCCUUAUAAUAAUUUCACAUGAAGUACAGCAUGAACGUUGGAGGGUAACUGGAGUUAAUGUCAAUUAUGAAUCACCAAUUUCCUGCUCUAAAUAGCAUUUCUUCUCAGAAAUUUCCCGUAUGAUGAGUUGCCCUGCAGAUAUAACCCAAACUGGCUAGCGGAGACUGAAUUUCAUUUAGGGCUUCCUUUUAAAACAUGAGGUGUUGCACAGGGAGUGGCCACAAAAUCCUGAGUCAUAGACAAAUGAUUUCAUUUUAAUUUUUCAUGGUACAUAACAUAGAAAAACAUCUUCUCCACUUUGCUUAUUGCAUUUUUACUGCAAGAAAAGAAUAUUGUGCGGGUGUUGGCAGGAGGCUGCAAUAAAAUAAGGUUGCUAUUGUUAGUAGCUGUCUGUAACUUGCCAGGUCAGUUUUACAGCUCCAAGCAAAUUUAUGGGUAGUUUUUUUGUCAUUAUGGCAAUGUUGUUCAAACCACAAUCAUAACUUGAUGUUAUCCUGAGGAAGGCAAUGAUGCUUUUCUCAACUGAGUGGAGAUAUUCCUGCUACCUUAGAGUUUUCUCCAUCUUCUGCAAAGCAUCCUGGAAAUGAGGCUGCAGUUUGAUGCUCAGUGACAUGCAAGACUCAAAGGGGCCCUCAGGAUGUGACCCUUGCUGAGGGAAGCUACUUCAAACCACAUUUAGAGUCCUUAACCCCCAGUUUGUAUUCAUACAAAACUUCCAGCUCUGCCACUGGGUAGUGUUUAGGACUUUCUGCAAACUCAGAUUUCUUGAGAAACACUGAAGACAGGAAUCAGCAGAAAUGUUAUUCCUUGUGGUUUGGGAUAGUGGGGAAGAGAGAUCAGUGUUGAUGCCCAAGGUGCACCACACAUCACCCGUGGGGGGAGGUAGAGAUGCAAACACUGGAGAAAUUUCCACAUGCAAGCUUCCACCUUCUUUGGUGCUUUGAUAAACAUCUGACACACCACGAGUUUUCACAGAGAGAUCCUUUAUCUCUCUAUCAGGUGCAAGACAUAUGCUGCAAAUUGCUCACUGCACAUCAGGUGUCAUUAUCCCACAGUGUUUGAUGCAAAACUUUCCCUGCAGCCUUGGAAAAAGGUGUGAUAUUUAACACUGACCUAUGUGAAACUGUAGACUUUUAGCUGGUAGGUUAAGCACCUACUGCACAUGCUUAUAAGAUAAUUUGAAACAACCUUGAAGGUGGAAUUCAUCUGCCUUAACCAAGGUGUUCAACAGCUGGAUGACUAAAUCAAGCUGACUCUUGGCUCCUUUUGUUAUUAAUAAACAGAUACUGCCAAAAGGGAGCUCCACCUCCCAUCAGGAGCAAAAUGAGCAGCCCUUCAGGCAGUACCUGUUUGUGGUUCCCACUGACAGAGAGAGGAGCCCAG